rnacentral:pre_miRNA from 11 species
AACCGUACGGGAUAAUCUAUUAUCCCGUGCGGACGUGUUAAGCGGACCGCACGGGAAGAUUUUUUCCGUGCGGUU